GACGAACGCUGGCGGCGUGCCUAAUACAUGCAAGUCGAGCGAAGUUUUUCUGGUGCUUGCACUAGAAAAACUUAGCGGCGAACGGGUGAGUAACACGUAAAGAACCUGCCUCAUAGACUGGGACAACUAUUGGAAACGAUAGCUAAUACCGGAUAACAGUAUUUCUCGCAUGAGAGAUAUUUAAAAGUUGGUUAUGCUAGCACUAUGAGAUGGCUUUGCGGUGCAUUAGCUAGUUGGUGGGGUAAAGGCCCACCAAGGCGACGAUGCAUAGCCGACCUGAGAGGGUGAUCGGCCACACUGGGACUGAGACACGGCCCAGACUCCUACGGGAGGCAGCAGUAGGGAAUCUUCCGCAAUGGGCGAAAGCCUGACGGAGCAACGCCGCGUGAGUGAAGAAGGAUUUCGGUUCGUAAAGCUCUGUUGUUAGGGAAGAAUGGAUAUGUAGUAACUAUACAUGUAAGAGACGGUACCUAACCAGAAAGCCACGGCUAACUACGUG
rnacentral:rRNA from 1 species